UAGAGUCUAGGAAACAGCUUUGAGAAAUCUUUCAGUCACAGGUUUUGGAGGACAGCUAAUUCUAGAAAAAGAAAACUGCACAUGUAAAAGUACCUGGCAAAGAAAGGAAGCAGAAACCCCACAGAGAAUCAUGUGCAAGUGAAAAGAGGAGAGGCCAACGGAACAAUCAAAGGUUUCCACCCCUGCAAAUUGCAGCCGCUUGGUCAGCUUUUGCACCCAGAUCCACUGGAAUGUGCGGAGCAGAGCUUGUCAGUUAUAGGCUGAGCCUCGCUGCUUCUAAAGAAUUCCCAGAGGGAUCCCGAGGAUGAAUGGCUAUCUCCCUGCUUUUAUAGGAAUAGAAUGGAUGAACUUCUUGUGAGA
rnacentral:sRNA from 1 species